rnacentral:rRNA from 1 species
UGAUCUACCCAUGUCCAGGUUGAAGCACAGGUAAAAAUGUGUGGAGGACCGAACCAGUGAGCGUUGAAAAGCUUUUGGAUGAGAUGUGGGUAGGGGUGAAAUGCCAAUCGAACGUGGAGAUAGCUGGUUCUCCCCGAAAUAGCUUUAGGGCUAGCCUCAUGGCGAGAGUACAGGCGGUAGAGCACUGAACAGGGUAGGGGCCUAUCCGGCUACUGAACCUAAUCAAACUGCGAAUGGCUGUACUUAUCCAUGGGAGUCAGACUGUGAGUAAUAAGGCCCAUAGUCAAGAGGGAAACAGCCCAGACCAACAGCUAAGGUCCCCAAUGCCGUACUAAGUGGCGAAGGAUGUGGAAUUUCAAAAACAACCAGGAUGUUGGCUCAGAAGCAGCCACCAUUAAAAGAGUGCGUAAUAGCUCACUGGUCGAGAGACUCUGCGCCGAAGAUGUCCGGGGCUAAAGUACGGAACCGAAGCUUUGGCAAUUAACUUAUGUUAAUUGGGUAGGGGAGCGUUCCUGCAUGGGAGAAGCCUGACCGGAAGGACAGGUGGACAGGCAGGAAGAGAGAAUGCCGGUAUGAGUAGCGAAAAGAAGGGUGAGAAUCCCUUCCACCGAAAGCCUAAGGGUUCCUGGGCAACGAUCGUCGUCCCAGGGUAAGUCGGGACCUAAUCCGAGGCGGAGACGCGCAGGAGAUGGACAACAGGUUGAAAUUCCUGUACUGGCUGAUUUCGUUUGAGCAAGGGAGUGACACAGGAAGGAAGGCGCGCGUGCGAUUGGAAGAGCACGUCCAAGCAGGUAGGUGGGAAGAUAGGCAAAUCCGUCUUCCCAAAAGCUGAGAUGCGAUGGGGAGCGACUGGAAACAGUCGUGAAGGGGCUGGCACUAAACUGUCGAGAAAAGCUUCUAGUGAGAAAUCAGGCACCCGUACCGAAACCGACACAGGUAGGCAGGAUGAGAAUUCUAAGGUGCGCGGGAAAACCCUCGUUAAGGAACUCGGCAAAAUGUAUCCGUAACUUCGGGAAAAGGAUAACCCGGCGUACGUGAAGUGCAGAAGCGCACGGAGCGGAACCGGGUGGCAGAAGAGAGGCCCAAGCGACUGUUUACCACAAACACAGGCGUCUGCUAAAGCGAAAGCUGAUGUAUAGAUGCUGACACCUGCCCGGUGCUGGAAGGUUAAGAGGAAGUGUUAGCGCAAGCGAAGCAGUGAAUUGAAGCCCCAGUAAACGGCGGCCGUAACUAUAACGGUCCUAAGGUAGCGAAAUUCCUUGUCGGGUAAGUUCCGACCCGCACGAAAGGUGUAACGAUUUGGGCACUGUCUCAACGAGGGACCCGGUGAAAUUGAAAUACCUGUGAAGAUGCAGGUUACCCGCGACUGGACAGAAAGACCCCAUGGAGCUUUACUGUAACCUGAGAUUGGAUUCCGGUAAGAGAUGUACAGGAUAGUUGGGAGGCGGAGAAGCAAGUACGCCAGUAUUUGCCGAGCCGAUGGUGGGAUACCAACCUUGUUUUAUUGGAAUUCUAACGAGAAGUUUAACAGACUUGCGGACAGUCUCAGGCGGGCAGUUUGACUGGGGCGGUCGCCUCCGAAAGAGUAACGGAGGCGCCCAAAGGUUCCCUCAGCGCGGACGGAAACCGCGCGAAGAGUGCAAAGGCAGAAGGGAGCUUGACUGCGAGACGGACAGGUCGAGCAGGGACGAAAGUCGGGCUUAGUGAUCCGGUGGUAGAGAGUGGAAUUGCCAUCGCUCAACGGAUAAAAGCUACCCUGGGGAUAACAGGCUUAUCUCUCCCAAGAGUCCAUAUCGACGGGGAGGUUUGGCACCUCGAUGUCGGCUCAUCACAUCCUGGGGCUGAAGUAGGUCCCAAGGGUUGGGCUGUUCGCCCAUUAAAGUGGUACGCGAGCUGGGUUCAGAACGUCGUGAGACAGUUCGGUCCCUAUCCAUCGCGGGCGGAAGAAACUUGAAAGGGGCUGCUCCUAGUACGAGAGGACCGGAGUGGACCGACCAAUGGUGUACCAGUCAUGGCGCCAGCCGUGCAGCUGGGUAGCUACGUCGGGGACGGAUAAACGCUGAAAGCAUCUAAGCGUGAAACCAGCCUAAAGAUGAGGUUUCUCAUUGUGAAAACAAGUAAGGUCCCACAAAGACGAUGUGGUUGAUAGGCCGGAAGUGGAAGUACAGCGAUGUAUGGAGCGGACCGGUACUAAUAGACCGAGGACUUGACUAC